rnacentral:tRNA from 1 species
GCGAAGGUGGCGGAAUUGGUAGACGCGCUAGCUUCAGGUGUUAGUUGGUAGCGCAACUGGUUUGGGACCAGUGGGUCGGAGGUUCGAAUCCUCUCUCGCC